GCAUAGUAAGAUGAAACAAAUGUUAAAAUUAGCAUGCACAAUAUUGUUAGUUGGUUUUGUUGAAUUGCAUAAUAACUUAUUCAAUAACGAAUAGAAGCUUGAAAGUAUAAUUUUCCAUCAAAGCCAGAAUCCUCUUCAAAAUACACUACAAUUACACAACAAAUAUGAUGCUAGGUUUUUCUUUUUUUUUUUCACUGAAUUAUUAUUUUUAAAUUGUAUGGAUGUCAUCACUUGGUUUAGGAUCUUAAUUCAUGUAUUGCAUAAAUUU
rnacentral:lncRNA from 1 species